CUGGCUCUGAUUCAAGGCCGGCAGCUUCCUGUCACUGUUGGUUUCAACCAGGAGCCUAAAGAGAUGUCUUUCUGUGGUCUGUUGGCCAUUUCAGAACUCGGGCAGUGAAAUGGCCAAUUCAUUAGAAAGAAACACCA
rnacentral:snoRNA from 1 species